rnacentral:rRNA from 2 species
UUUCCCCGUCAGGAUAACGCUGGCGGCGUGCCUAAUACAUGCAAGUCGAGCGAACUGAUUAGAAGCUUGCUUCUAUGACGUUAGCGGCGGACGGGUGAGUAACACGUGGGCAACCUGCCUGUAAGACUGGGAUAACUCCGGGAAACCGGAGCUAAUACCGGAUAACAUUUUCUCUUGCAUAAGAGAAAAUUGAAAGAUGGUUUCGGCUAUCACUUACAGAUGGGCCCGCGGUGCAUUAGCUAGUUGGUGAGGUAACGGCUCACCAAGGCAACGAUGCAUAGCCGACCUGAGAGGGUGAUCGGCCACACUGGGACUGAGACACGGCCCAGACUCCUACGGGAGGCAGCAGUAGGGAAUCUUCCGCAAUGGACGAAAGUCUGACGGAGCAACGCCGCGUGAGUGAUGAAGGCUUUCGGGUCGUAAAACUCUGUUGUUAGGGAAGAACAAGUACAAGAGUAACUGCUUGUACCUUGACGGUACCUAACCAGAAAGCCACGGCUAACUACGUGCCAGCAGCCGCGGUAAUACGUAGGUGGCAAGCGUUAUCCGGAAUUAUUGGGCGUAAAGCGCGCGCAGGCGGUUUCUUAAGUCUGAUGUGAAAGCCCACGGCUCAACCGUGGAGGGUCAUUGGAAACUGGGGAACUUGAGUGCAGAAGAGAAAAGCGGAAUUCCACGUGUAGCGGUGAAAUGCGUAGAGAUGUGGAGGAACACCAGUGGCGAAGGCGGCUUUUUGGUCUGUAACUGACGCUGAGGCGCGAAAGCGUGGGGAGCAAACAGGAUUAGAUACCCUGGUAGUCCACGCCGUAAACGAUGAGUGCUAAGUGUUAGAGGGUUUCCGCCCUUUAGUGCUGCAGCUAACGCAUUAAGCACUCCGCCUGGGGAGUACGGUCGCAAGACUGAAACUCAAAGGAAUUGACGGGGGCCCGCACAAGCGGUGGAGCAUGUGGUUUAAUUCGAAGCAACGCGAAGAACCUUACCAGGUCUUGACAUCCUCUGACAACUCUAGAGAUAGAGCGUUCCCCUUCGGGGGACAGAGUGACAGGUGGUGCAUGGUUGUCGUCAGCUCGUGUCGUGAGAUGUUGGGUUAAGUCCCGCAACGAGCGCAACCCUUGAUCUUAGUUGCCAGCAUUAAGUUGGGCACUCUAAGGUGACUGCCGGUGACAAACCGGAGGAAGGUGGGGAUGACGUCAAAUCAUCAUGCCCCUUAUGACCUGGGCUACACACGUGCUACAAUGGAUGGUACAAAGGGCUGCAAGACCGCGAGGUCAAGCCAAUCCCAUAAAACCAUUCUCAGUUCGGAUUGUAGGCUGCAACUCGCCUACAUGAAGCUGGAAUCGCUAGUAAUCGCGGAUCAGCAUGCGCGGGGGAAAAACCUUUCCCCGGGCCUUGUACACACCGCCCGUCACACCACGAAGAGUUUGUAACACCCCGAAGUCGGUGGGGGUAACCUUUAUGGGAGCCAGCCGCCUAAGGUGGGACAGAUGAUUG